UAGGUGCAAGGCACAGAACCAACUCUGGCAGAGUGAAGGGGCAAAGGGACUCAUCAGAAGGCACUGGAGAGCCGGCAGGAUCCCUGGGAGAGCCAGAACCAGGCGCCGAGGCUCUGCAGUGGGGAACGACGCUCACAACAAGGCUUUAGAAACACUGCUGUUGCUAUGGACACUGGACCCCGCAGGUUCCUCCACUGACAACACUGGACACCGUAUGCAGCCAAGGUCCCUGUCAUCACCCAACACCAGAACACCUGCUUCUUCCAAGUACCAGCUUCCUAAUCAAUGUCAAGGCUGGAAGGCAAGUAGGUGAAUGGUCUUCACCUUUGCAGGGAUAAAGGGAUGAAAAGAACUUGAGUCUCCAUCACCAAGAGCCAACAGACCAGCCCUCGACUGACGCAAGUAUGAAGUUGUGAAGAAACCGUGGUUCUGACUCUUCCUAUGAGUGCCCAGCACAGCACCUGCUGCUAAGUGGCCACCCUGUGUUUGCUGGAAAAAUGAGUGAACUGGGGAGAUCCUGGGCCCUGGGGCCUCUAGCCAGACAGAGCCAAAGGACUCGCGGACGAUUUUUGGUCAAGGGAACCGAUUCAAGGACAAACACGCAGCACAGCGCAUGAGUGACACAAGCAGGCAAGUUCAUUAAAGCAAAAAAGCACACUCUCGAGAUAUGAGAGCCGGCGAACUAGAGAGGGAGGCGGGGAGCGGGAAGGACCGAGGGAGACCUAGCGAGCAUGCGCAGGUGCGCAGGCGCGCAAGCGGGCGGAAGAGCAUGAGCGAGCUGCACGCAAGGUGGGGAUGUUUCUAUCUUUUAUUGACAGUUGUUAACUAGCGGGCGGAAUACGUAUUACUUGGGCGGCAAGCAGCGUUUCAAGCUUUUUCCUCCUAAUUUGGUCAGAGGUUGCUUGUCGUGGCACCUGCCAUCUUAGUUCUGCCUGGGUAGAUCCGGCUUCUUGGGGAGAGCUGUCAGGACCCGCCUCUGACCUUCCCGAUAGCUGGCCAUGACUUCCUCGUGCUGGCCUCCAGGUAUCGUGUUAGAACCUGACUAACUGCCUACUCUAACACAAUGAGUUUAGAAAACGAUUUCAUAUUGUCUUGUAAAGUUGAACAUGUGUAGUGGGUAACUUCCAGCUCCGCAAUUCCACUCCCAAGAAAUACACCCUAAGGAUCGUUACUUGUAUGCAGUUGUAGAUAUAUAUAAUAUUCUUUGUGGUUUUUUUUGUGAAAUAUUGAAACAAGAAAGAAAAAAAAGGAAGCAACUUACGCCUCUAUCCAUAGGAAAAGAGAUAAAUCACUUGUGCAGUAAUCACACAAUGGCCUGCUAUUCAGCUGUGGCUUGGAGGUAAGCAAUUGGAGGUCGAAGGGUUGAAGAUGAAAGAGAAAAGUAGUCACAACUGUAACCAAACCAACGCGUGUUGGCUCCUUGGUGAGUCAUAGAAACUGCACCAUGUCAGUUGUUCCUUAAGGGAAACUUUAUUUGCAGCAAAUGAGUCCAAGCUUCCAAAUAAGGUUUUCCUUGUGCGACAACUCACUUGGUGCAGUUUCUGUGACUCACCAAGGCGUAAACGCCUGUUGGUUCGGUUACAAAUUUGGUGACCCAGAUGGGACAGCUGUCCUGAGGUUCUGCCCUCCAGUUCCCUGGGUUCCGACGGACGGAGCAGCAGGCAGCGGAAGCUUGCUUGGGCUAAACGGUUCAAGCUGUCAGGACCAGGGGCAGAUUCCUUGGAGGAGAUUCACCCUUUUUUGGUGCUUGUGACCACUGGCGUGCCAUUCUGUCCUCAUUUGAAAUCCAGAUCUCAUUUGAAACUCUGAUUAUAUUUACCCGAAGGAUUUCUGUUGGGAUAAAUUAUGCCAGGUCCGUGGCAGAGAUCUUAGAAGUAAAACUAAAGCUCUCUCACAAAGUCUGGGCAAGACAGCAUAACAGUCAGAAUACACUGGGUAAACAGGGCCUUUCUGGUAAACACUCUGGGAGAUUGAACACUGAUUAGGGUCCAGU